CUCAGAACGAACGCUGGCGGCGCGCUUAAUACAUGCAAGUCGUGCGAGAAAGUCCUUCGGGGAUGAGUAGAGCGGCGAACGGGUGAGUAACACGUAAGCAACCUGCCUUUAAGUCUGGGAUAACCCUGCCAACGCGGGGCUAAUACCGGGUGUGGUCCUGGCAUCGCAUGGUGUCGGGAUUAAAGGUGACCUCUACUUGUAAGUUACCGCUUAAAGAGGGGCUUGCGGACCAUUAGCUUGUUGGUGAGGUAACGGCUCACCAAGGCUACGAUGGUUAGCCGACCUAAGAGGGUGAUCGGCCACAUUGGGACUGAGAUACGGCCCAGACUCCUACGGGAGGCAGCAGUAGGGAAUUUUGCGCAAUGGACGAAAGUCUGACGCAGCGACGCCGCGUGAGCGAUGAAGGCCUUCGGGUUGUAAAGCUCUGUUGAGUGGGAAGAAAACUUCCGGUGCGAAUAGUAUCGGGACUUGACGGUACCACUCGAGGAAGCCCCGGCUAACUACGUGCCAGCAGCCGCGGUAAUACGUAGGGGGCUAGCGUUGUUCGGAAUUACUGGGCGUAAAGGGAGUGUAGGCGGGGAGGUAAGUUAGGAGUUCAAUUCACGGGCUUAACCCGUGGCUAGCUCUUAAUACUGCUUCCCUUGAGUAUGGGAGAGGGCGAUGGAAUUCCAGGUGCAGCGGUGGAAUGCGUAGAUAUCUGGAAGAACACCAGUUGCGAAGGCGGUCGCCUGGCCCAAUACUGACGCUGAGGCUCGAAAGCUAG
rnacentral:rRNA from 1 species